ACAUAGCAGGGAAACUCAUUGGCAUCACAAGGGAUGAGACUACAGAUUAUUAUAAACUGAAAUAAAUGCGUAGAGUGAGCAACCUACUUGCUCAGGGGCAUCGCAGAUAAAUACAUAAACACACCUCCAGUUUUCUCAACAGCAUUUGAUUUUUGAUUAGGCAGCUGGACAAGCACUAGGAAUAGCAAGGUGUCAAAUCGUCGCAGUGAUGAUUACUGAGGUAGCUACCAAAUCAAUCAUCCUAGACUGUGGCAACUUGGCAUACGCAUUUUAUAUGUAUAGGUUUCUGUCCGGUUUAGGGAAACAUUUUAAUCAAGAAAAUUCGCAGUUCGCUAAGACUGACCCUAAUAUGACUAGCUAGCUAGUCUCCUAUGAUAAGUUAGCAUUGGUGCCUGCCUGAUCGACGUGGCAAACUUCACUAGCUGGGCAUAAUUGGCAAGAACGACAUCUUUCUGCAUCAUCACAGAAUGAACGAAGACGGAUCUGUCACAGUGCAAGAAGGUAAUGGUUGAAAGAGGAGAACUUUUCUCGCUGUCCAGGAACAAGGUCGCAAAGCUGUGCCACACCUUCAUUAAAGAUGGAGCAUUGAGACUCCAGACUGUUCGACACUCUUCAGAUGUAGCAUUUCAAUAAGGUUUCAAUGCGUUUUAAUUUGAAAACCUUUGUUUUCGGACGUUUGGGUGCGCAUUGAACAACAUGCUAACAAAAACAAAAAGCGCCUCCAACAGAGAAUGUAUUCUCUAAGCAAUCAGAUGACAGUAGUUUUCAGUGUAGUAUUGAUCCGUAACCGCUGGCUUUCCGACUUCGAAAAUGAACCGUUAAAAUUAAAGGUCGCAAAUUUGUGGGCGUCAAGAAUUUACGUUCUUGUUUGUCAAUGGAAAGCAUUUACACUUCCUGCCUACACUACUAGCCAAAAGUUUAGACACACUCACUUCCUUUUUCAGCUUUUUCUGAUUGUUUCAUUCAGUUUGUAAUAAUCUGCACCACACAUAAAUUAGUUUAUGAGGGUACUUGUACGUUUUGCUUUCACCGUGUCGUAAUUACAGCAUUUCAGUGUUUGGGACAAAUUAACAUAAUGUCAAAUAAAAUAAUGUUUUGUAA